rfam:Triticum aestivum genome assembly, contig: Triticum_aestivum_CS42_TGACv1_scaffold_321635_4BL
AAACUACUAUCUCCGUCCCAAAAUUCUUGUCUUAUAUUUAUCUAGAUACGGAUGUAUCUAACAGUAAAACGUAAAUAGAUACAUCCGUAUGUAGACAAAUCUAAAACAAGAAUUUUGAGACGGAGGGAGUAAUAU